UGGGGUCCUCGCGAAAUUUUAAAGCUUUCAGAAGCACCAUGAAGUGGGCGGAGCCGCCGCUUUUUAUGCCGGAAGUAGUUUUAUUCUGGUAUUCCUAACUCAACAUGCACACAGUUACCAGUUUGUUUGUGACACCUCCAGAGCUGCUAAUGCAGUACAUCAGUCCUGCAGUCAGUCCUACUUUCAUACAGUGUUCAGAUCCUGCCAUGACAGGCCUGACAAAACCAGUAUUGCAACAGAUGGAGACCACUCCGAUGGCUGCACUGACCUUUUAAUCAUAGUAGUGAUCUGCUACUGUUCUCCUGGUUCUGCUUUCAUUAAACUAAAAAUAGCACCCGGUUUUUAAGAUAGACAGUGAUUGGUGCUGCAGUAUUAUUACAUUUUGGGGCUUAUACAAAAAAUAUGUCAAUGCAACACUGCUUUCCUCUUCUUUACUGCAUUAUUGUGAAAAUUAUGCAAAUGAGAAAUAGGGGAAAAGUAUGUUAACUUUCCCUUUCAUUAGCAUCAGACUCCAAAUGACUCUCUCUGAAGCUGGAUCGCCAUCUGCUGGCCAGAAUCACACUCUUUUUUUUUUCUUUUUCACACUGUUUUAAAGAUUUGUGUACUAUGACACAGCUUCCAUCCAACAUUGACUGCUAUUUAAUUUAAAUCUGAAACUUAAGAUAAUGUGCCAGUUCAUAACAUUGCAAAGCUCCAGAUACAUAAUUCUAAACAAACCCAUGCACAUUUCUGCAUGUUAGUCAUAUGCAUGUAUGAAAAUGAGGCUUCUCCACUGUGAUUUACUUUUAUCAAGAUAAAACCUUUCUGUAAGGCCUUUGUGUUGCGCUGUAUUGAAUGGCAUUAAAUGGUGGCUGGGACUAAAA